CGGCGGACGGCUGAGUAACGCGUAGGAACCUACCCCAAACUGAGGGAUAAGCACCAGAAAUGGUGUCUAAUACCGCAUGUGCUCUACGGAGUAAAGCUUCGGCGGUUUGGGAAGGGCCUGCGUAUGAUUAGCUUGUUGGUGAGGUAAAAGCUCGCCAAGGCGACGAUCAUUAGCUGGUCUGAGAGGAUGAUCAGCCAGACUGGGACUGAGAACGGCCCAG
rnacentral:rRNA from 1 species